rnacentral:rRNA from 1 species
GACGAACGCUGGCGGCGUGCUUAACACAUGCAAGUCGAACGGAAAGGCCCUGCUUUUGUGGGGUGCUCGAGUGGCGAACGGGUGAGUAACACGUGAGUAACCUGCCCUUGACUUUGGGAUAACUUCAGGAAACUGGGGCUAAUACCGGAUAGGAGCUCCUGCUGCAUGGUGGGGGUUGGAAAGUUUCGGCGGUUGGGGAUGGACUCGCGGCUUAUCAGCUUGUUGGUGGGGUAGUGGCUUACCAAGGCUUUGACGGGUAGCCGGCCUGAGAGGGUGACCGGCCACAAUGGGACUGAGAUAGGGCCCAGACUCCUACGGGAGGCAGCAGUGGGGAAUAUUGCACAAUGGGCGGAAGCCUGAUGCAGCAACGCCGCGUGCGGGAUGACGGCCUUCGGGUUGUAAACCGCUUUCGCCUGUGACGAAGCGGGAGUGACGGUAAUGGGUAAAGAAGCACCGGCUAACUACGUG